rnacentral:sRNA from 1 species
UAAGUCAUCUUUCUCUUCUAUUACCAUCAUCACCAACAAACAAGCUACUCCUAUAACUCCCAAUCCAAGCUACAAUUUUUAAUCCUCUCUCAAAUCCACUCCUUCCCAAACAUGUAACAUGUAAAACCCUUUCCCCCAUAGUACCACUUCCUUCAGAAAUUUGGUAGUGGGUGGGGGUGCUGGAAAAGUGGAUGGUUUGUGUGUGUGUGUGUUUUUCAUGGUAUCUUUUAUUUACAUCUAUGUCUUUCCAUGCUCCUUUUCUUUCAAGGCUAAGCUAAAAACAAGUUAAAUAUUGCUGGGAAUGAAUCUUCAUUCUUGAGGAGGAUUUCUCUUGGAAAGGGCAACUUCAAUCCUUUGGCAUUUUUCAAUUCCUUCACCUCACUUCACUCUCUCUCUCUGAUUUGGGCUCUUGAUGGAGAGAUUUCAUAAUGGCAACAUCCUUAUUAUGUAGUAUGUAUUGUGCUCUCUACUUUUCUUGCAGUCCUAGUUUGUGUUUGUCAUGGGGUUUCAAUUGCAACCUUUGUUUUGUAUAAUCAUGUUCAUGCCUACUAUAGACUACGUAGUAGGUAUUCAAUAAAUGUAAGUUUGUAUUGGCCUAGAUAUGGCCAAAGUGCAUUGUUGUUUUUAUUGAUAUGGAUGGGUAUCAUGUUAUUUUGCUU